GCCCGUGUAGCUCAGUGGUUAGAGCAUUCCACGGAUUGGAAAGGCCGGGGGUUCGAGUCCCUCCGCGGGUC
rnacentral:tRNA from 1 species